UGGUGGAGUGAUUUGUCUGGUUAAUUCCGAUAACGAACGAGACUCUAGCCUGCUAAAUAGACGGGCGAUCCCUUCGUGGGUCGACCCGAUUUGCUUCUUAGAGGGACAAGUGGCGUUCCUAGCCACGCGAAAUUGAACAAUAACA
rnacentral:rRNA from 1 species